UACAGAGGUCCCGAGCGUUGUUCGGAUUUAUUGGGCGUAAAGGGUGCGUAGGCGGCGGAGUAAGUUGGGUGUGAAAUCCCGGGGCUUAACCUCGGAAUUGCAUUCAAUACUGCUUCGCUCGAGUACUGGAGAGGAGGCUGGAAUUUACGGUGUAGCAGUGAAAUGCGUAGAUAUCGUGAGGAAGACCUGUGGCGAAGGCGGGUUUCUGGACAGUACCUGACGCUGAGGCACGAAGGCCAGGGGAGCAAACGGG
rnacentral:rRNA from 1 species